rnacentral:rRNA from 1 species
UACGUAGGGUGCAAGCGUUUAAUCGGAAUACUGGGCGUAAAGCGUGCGCAGGCGGUUAUGUAAGUUUGUCGUGAAAGCCCCGGGCUCAACCUGGGAAUUGCAUUUGUGACUGCACGGCUAGAGUGUGUCAGAGGGGGGGUAGAAUUCCACGUGUAGCAGUGAAAUGCGUAGAUAUGUGGAGGAAUGACCGAUGGCGAAGGCAGCCCCCCUGGGAUAACACUGACGCUCAUGCACGAAAGCGUGGGGGAGCAAACAGG